rnacentral:rRNA from 1 species
GCCUAUGGCCAUGCUACCCUGAGCAAAUCCAAUGUCUAAUCUCCAAAGCUAAGCAGGGUCGGGCCUGGUUAGUACUUGGAUGGGAAACCACCUAGGAAGACCAGGUGCUGUAGGCG